rnacentral:sRNA from 1 species
GGAUUCCCCUAGUAACUGCGAGUGAAGAGGGAAAAGCUCAAAUUUAAAAUCUGGCAGUCUUCGGCUGUCCGAGUUGUAAUUUAGAGAAGUGUUACCCGCAUUGGACCGUGUACAAGUCUCCUGGAAUGGAGCGUCAUAGAGGGUGAGAAUCCCGUCUUUGACACGGAUUACCUGUGCAUUGUGGUGCGCUCUCGAAGAGUCGAGUUGUUUGGGAAUGCAGCUCUAAAUGGGUGGUAAAUUCCAUCUAAAGCUAAAUAUUGGGGAGAGACCGAUAGCGAACAAGUACCGUGAGGGAAAGAUGAAAAGAACUUUGGAAAGAGAGUUAAACAGUACGUGAAAUUGCUGAAAGGGAAACGCUUGAAGUCAGUCGCGUUAGCUGGGGAUCAGCCUUCCUUCUGGUUGGUGUACUUCCUAGUUGACGGGUCAGCAUCAGUUUUGACCAGUGGAUAAAAGUUUGAGGAAUGUGGCAUCUUCGGGUGUGUUAUAGCCUCUUGCUGUAUACAUUGGUUGGGACUGAGGAACUCAGCACGCCGCAAGGCCGGGUUUUUUAACCACGUUCGUGCUUAGGAUGCUGGCAUAAUGGCUUUAAUCGACCCGU